rnacentral:rRNA from 1 species
AGUGAACGCUGGCGGUAGGCCUAACACAUGCAAGUCGAACGGCAGCACAGUAAGAGCUUGCUCUUACGGGUGGCGAGUGGCGGACGGGUGAGGAAUACAUCGGAAUCUACUUUUUCGUGGGGGAUAACGUAGGGAAACUUACGCUAAUACCGCAUACGACCUACGGGUGAAAGCAGGGGAUCUUCGGACCUUGCGCGAUUGAAUGAGCCGAUGUCGGAUUAGCUAGUUGGCGGGGUAAAGGCCCACCAAGGCGACGAUCCGUAGCUGGUCUGAGAGGAUGAUCAGCCACACUGGAACUGAGACACGGUCCAGACUCCUACGGGAGGCAGCAGUGGGGAAUAUUGGACAAUGGGCGCAAGCCUGAUCCAGCCAGAGCGCGUGGGUGAAGAAGGCCUUCGGGUUGUAAAGCCCUUUUGUUGGGAAAGAAAAGCAGCAGGUUAAUACCCCGCUGUUCUGACGGUACCCAAAGAAUAAGCACCGGCUAACUUCGUG